GACGAACGCUGGCGGCGUGCUUAACACAUGCAAGUCGAACGGAAAGGCCCUGCUUUUGUGGGGUGCUCGAGUGGCGAACGGGUGAGUAACACGUGAGUAACCUGCCCUUGACUUUGGGAUAACUUCAGGAAACUGGGGCUAAUACCGGAUAGGAGCUCCUGCUGCAUGGUGGGGGUUGGAAAGUUUCGGCGGUUGGGGAUGGACUCGCGGCUUAUCAGCUUGUUGGUGGGGUAGUGGCUUACCAAGGCUUUGACGGGUAGCCGGCCUGGGAGGGUGACCGGCGACAUGGGGACUGAGAGACGGCCCAGACGCCUACGGGAGGCAGCAGGGGGGAAUAUGGCACAAUGGGCGGAAGCCUGAUGCAGCAACGCCGCGUGCGGGAUGACGGCCUUCGAGUGGUAAACCGCUUUCGCCCGUGACGAAGCGUGAGUGACGGUAAUGGGUAAAGAAGCACCGGCUAACUACGUG
rnacentral:rRNA from 1 species